rnacentral:rRNA from 1 species
AGCGAACGCUGGCGGCGUGCCUAACACAUGCAAGUCGAACGUGAAAAGGGAAACCUGAGUACAGUGGCGUACGGGUGAGUAACGCGUAGGUAAUCUACCCCAGAAUCUGGAAUAACCUGCCGAAAGGCGGGCUAAUACUGGAUAGAGCGAGGGAACUCGUAAGAGAGUUUUUCGGGAAAGGGAGCCCGCAAGGGCCUUCGUUCUGGGAUGAGCCUGCGUCUCAUUAGCUAGUUGGUAAGGUAACGGCUUACCAAGGCGAUGAUGAGUAGCUGGUCUGAGAGGAUGAUCAGCCACACUGGAACUGAAACACGGUCCAGACUCCUACGGGAGGCAGCAGUGGGGAAUCUUGCGCAAUGGACGAAAGUCUGACGCAGCCACGCCGCGUGGGUGAAGAAGGCCUUCGGGUUGUAAAGCUCUGUCGAAUAGGACGAACAUCUUCAUAGUGAAUAGCUAUGAGGACUGACGGUACCAUCAAAGGAAGCACCGGCUAACUCCGUG